rnacentral:rRNA from 1 species
GACGAACGCUGGCGGCGUGCCUAAUACAUGCAAGUUGGGCGCUGAAGGUUGGUACUUGUACCAACUGGAUGAGCAGCGAACGGGUGAGUAACGCGUGGGGAAUCUGCCUUUGAGCGGGGGACAACAUUUGGAAACGAAUGCUAAUACCGCAUAAAAACUUUAAACACAAGUUUUAAGUUUGAAAGAUGCAAUUGCAUCACUCAAAGAUGAUCCCGCGUUGUAUUAGCUAGUUGGUGAGGUAAAGGCUCACCAAGGCGAUGAUACAUAGCCGACCUGAGAGGGUGAUCGGCCACAUUGGGACUGAGACACGGCCCAAACUCCUACGGGAGGCAGCAGUAGGGAAUCUUCGGCAAUGGACGAAAGUCUGACCGAGCAACGCCGCGUGAGUGAAGAAGGUUUUCGGAUCGUAAAACUCUGUUGGUAGAGAAGAACGCUGGUGAGAGUGGAAAGCUCAUCAAGUGACGGUAACUACCCAGAAAGGGACGGCUAACUACGUG